CGGGACGGGUGAGUAAUGUCUGGGAAACUGCCUGAGGGAGGGGGAUAACUACUGGGAAACGGUAGCUAAUACCGCAUAACGUCGCAAGACCAAAGAGGGGGACCUUAGGGCCUCUUGCCAUCGGAUGUGCCCAGAUGGGAUUAGCUAGUAGGCGGGGUAACGGCUCACCUAGGCGACGAUCCCUAGCUGGUCUGAGAGGAUGACCAGCCACACUGGAACUGAGACACGGUCCAG
rnacentral:rRNA from 1 species